UGUUAAACCAGACCGUCCCGAAAACGAAUGAAGUGGGGGAAUUGCAUGCUAUGAUCUUACAGGCCAGAAACAGGUCAUGCAUGGUUCGCGACACAAAACACAAGACCGAACUGUCCAGGUCAGCCACAAUCACACUGAAGGUCAGAUCCGCGCAUUAAUUGCGUCAAAUCACCCUGACCAUCACAGGGCUCAAGACCACUGAGUUUACCUACAGAGUUCGACUGGAAGUGUGCACGUCACCUGUGAUAAGGCAUGAAAACGUGUGCUCCAGCGAUGAUGACCAGUGGGUUUUUUAUUUUGCCCCUACUGAAAAAGAAGAGCACGUCCAGCUGAUUGAAAUAACUUCGCGGGAGAGCGAACUACUGGAUAUUUAUCACGCGAUCAAACAUGUUCUGACAGCCAGCGUAAUAUGCGGUUGCGACAGCUGUCAUAUUCCACGCCCGACAAGUCUGAUGUCUAAAUACCAACAUGACAAAACAGCGAUGCGCAUGUGCGAGGACAUGCCCAGCGGGAGAGAUUGGGGGUGUUCCCCCACUCACCAGCCAGAGCACGAUGAAGAGAGUUCUGAUCUAGA